AACGAACGCUGGCGGCAUGCCUAACACAUGCAAGUCGAACGAGACCUUCGGGUCUAGUGGCGCACGGGUGCGUAACGCGUGGGAAUCUGCCCUUGGGUUCGGAAUAACAGUUGGAAACGACUGCUAAUACCGGAUGAUGACGUAAGUCCAAAGAUUUAUCGCCCAAGGAUGAGCCCGCGUAGGAUUAGCUAGUUGGUGAGGUAAAGGCUCACCAAGGCGACGAUCCUUAGCUGGUCUGAGAGGAUGAUCAGCCACACUGGGACUGAGACACGGCCCAGACUCCUACGGGAGGCAGCAGUGGGGAAUAUUGGACAAUGGGCGAAAGCCUGAUCCAGCAAGGCCGCGUGAGUGAUGAAGGCCUUAGGGUUGUAAAGCUCUUUUACCCGGGAUGAUAAUGACAGUACCGGGAGAAUAAGCUCCGGCUAACUCCGUG
rnacentral:rRNA from 1 species